CCGACGUGGAUACUCCCGGGAGGUCACUCUCCCCGGGCUCUGUCCAGGUGGCACGGAGGAGCACAGGGCUAAGGGCCCCAUGACAGACAGUCCUUUUCCACGUCGGAGAUGAAGCCGGGCCUGAGCCUGCGCCUGCACAUUCCUACAGCUUCUCAGAGUUCGUGGACAAUGACUGCGGAGACAAACCAUGCAGGAAACAGCC
ensembl:snoRNA SNORA73 Small nucleolar RNA SNORA73 family